rnacentral:rRNA from 1 species
UACACAGGGAUAACAUACCGAAAGGUAUGCUAAUACGGGAUAAUAUAUUUGAGAGGCAUCUCUUAAAUAUCAAAGGUGAGCCAGUACAGGAUGGACCCGCGUCUGAUUAGCUAGUUGGUAAGGUAACGGCUUAUCAAGGCAACGAUCAGUAGCCGACCUGAGAGGGUGAUCGGCCACAUUGGAACUGAGACACGGUCCAAACUCCUACGGGAGGCAGCAGUGGGGAAUAUUGCACAAUGGGCGAAAGCCUGAUGCAGCAACGCCGCGUGAGUGAUGAAGGCCUUCGGGUCGUAAAACUCUGUCCUCAAGGAAGAUAAUGACGGUACUUGAGGAGGAAGCCCCGGCUAACUACGUGCCAGCAGCCGCGGUAAUACGUAGGGGGCUAGCGUUAUCCGGAUUUACUGGGCGUAAAGGGUGCGUAGGCGGUCUUUCAAGUCAGGAGUGAAAGGCUACGGCUCAACCGUAGUAAGCUCUUGAAACUGGGAGACUUGAGUGCAGGAGAGGAGAGUGGAAUUCCUAGUGUAGCGGUGAAAUGCGUAGAUAUUAGGAGGAACACCAGUUGCGAAGGCGGCUCUCUGGACUGUAACUGACGCUGAGGCACGAAAGCGUGGGGAGCAAACAGGAUUAGAUACCCUGGUAGUCCACGCUGUAAACGAUGAGUACUAGGUGUCGGGGGUUACCCCCUUCGGUGCCGCAG